CUCCUGGUGCUGUGAAUGAGCUAUGAAUACACCGCAGAACUCACAUUUUUGCUUCGGUGUAAUGCAGGCAUGGGUACCAUAUCAUCUUGUGUGAAGGGAGGAAGAAUUAGGAAAUCCGACUCAAUUCGGGAAAAUCCUACAUUUGGCCAUUAGCAAUAAUAAUAAUUCCCAAAAGAAAACUCUACAAAGAUCUUCGUUUAUGUGUUUUUCUCUCUAGAGCCAUGGAGUCAUCAAAACCAAUGCAUAUGCAUGUUCCUGCCUUAACUAUACCGUGUAUUUGUAGUUUGAUGGUCUGUUUUUAAUAAUAUUUAGUAAUGGAACUAUCCCUUGUUGUUCAA